GGGCGUGUACCGAAGUGGCCAAACGGGCCGGACUGUAAAUCCGGUGGCUCAGCCUUCGUAGGUUCGAAUCCUACCGCGCCCA
rnacentral:tRNA from 1 species